GACGAACGCUGGCGGCGUGCUUAACACAUGCAAGUCGAACGGAAAGGCCCUGCUUUUGUGGGGUGCUCGAGUGGCGAACGGGUGAGUAACACGUGAGUAACCUGCCCUUGACUUUGGGAUAACUUCAGGAAACUGGGGCUAAUACCGGAUAGGAGCUCCUGCUGCACGGUGGGGGUUGGAAAGUUUCGGCGGUUGUGGAUGGACUCGCGGCUUAUCAGCUUGUUGGUGGGGUAGUGGCUUACCAAGGCUUUGACGGGUAGCCGGCCUGAGAGGGUAACCGGCCACAUGGGUACUGAGGGACGGCCCAGACUCCUACGGUAGGCAGCAGUGGAGAAUAUUACGGAAUGGGCGGAAGCCUGAUGCAGCAACGCCGCGUGCGGGAUGACGGCCUUCGGGUUGUAAACCGCUUUCGCCUGUAACGAAGCGUGAGUGACGGUAAUGGGUAAGGAAGCACCGGCUAACUACGUG
rnacentral:rRNA from 1 species